UAAAAUCUACGAAGGUUAACCCAAAAAAAACCAGGGCGGGGAAAUUGGUCCCCGAGCGUUUCCUCCUCACGUUCGCCCCCGCCGCUCUAGGGUUGUGCUCUUCUCUGGCGUCGGCGCGUCGCCCUCGGCCCGAUCUCCGGUCGCCGUCCUCCACCGCGUCGGCGGCGGCGCCGCGGCGUGGCGCCACCUGCUGCUCCUCCUCACUGCCCAACUGCUCGCGCUCGCCCUCCUCGCGUUCGCGCUCCAGUGCCGCGGCGGCAUGGACGACGCCGGCUCCCCUCGCCUGGCCGUGCCGGCCCCGUCGAGGCUGCAGUCCCUCCACUCCUCCGCCGCCUCCUGCGUCGAGGUGCUCGCCGCCCCCGCCGCCCCGCCUUCCCCUACCUCCGCGGCUGGUCCUUCCACUUCGACGCGCCGGACACACACCACCCCAAAGUACUACCUUUCCAAUCUCACCUCCGCCCUCUUCCUCGCCGGUCACCGGCCGAUGUGUCCGACCUGUGAAGCAGGAAGCUUGUUCGAUGAGAUAAAUCCCUGCCUCACGAUUUGCUUCGUGAAGGCCAGAAUUUCGCUCUUUGUUUGUCUACUGAAAAACCUCCAUGUGGGGAUAGAUGUCAUCAUAGAAUGCGUGCAGUAAAAUUGUUCUGACUGUAUUAUGUAUCAUUAUUUUGGUUAGUCUAAAAGAAAUAAUUUGGUUAGAUUUGUCUUGAAGAAUAGAUUCGACCUAUACUUCUAGGUUUUGAUACAGAAAAUAGAAAUUUGUUGCCAAAGCAGUGUAUGGAGACUAUUUCAGUAUCUGGAAGUACACUUGUGACCGGAGGCAUGGCCGCUGUUGCUGCCAACAUAGUGGCAGUGAGCGCAAUCUGGAAGUAACAAGCACACUGUUUAGAGGGGAUGGAGAGCUUUACAAAUGGGAAUGUUAGGUUAUUGAAGCAUGAACGCAGCAUUGUUGCAGAGGAUGAUCUUGACUGUCGGUGGCAGGAAGCCACUGGAGAGGCUGUUUCCGAGGUCUCCAACCGCCCUGCACUCACUGUCCAUCCAAUCGGUUGGUUCUGCAUUCAUCUAUCUGGAUCUUGUUUAACACACAGGUGCAAUUAAACCUCGAUAUGUUAUGUGUAAAAUCCUAUUAAAUACGUAAAUAUGAUACCAUAUACAAAUUGUUAAUACAUUCGAAAGUUACUGCACCUAUUCUUCUAGCAUACAGGCAGUUAAUUAUAUUUUAUAUUUUUCCUAAUUUCCCUGUAUACUGUGAGCCUGCGAUUGUUUGGUUUCAUGGUUUUUGAGCAAUGUCCAUGCUUUCAACCCACAUGCAUACAUGCAUGUUGAUUACUAAUUAG